rfam:Nicotiana attenuata strain TT chromosome 2, whole genome shotgun sequence.
UGGACAGAUUAUUAUAUUCGACUGUAUUCACGGCGUGAAAUAGGGGAUUACACUGUUUUUAAAACGGAAAGUGAAUCAAUUAGCAUAAUAGACUCCU